rnacentral:misc_RNA from 1 species
AUAUAAGAGACAGGUGAGUCAUCGAAUCUUUGAACGCACAUUGCGCCCGCCAGUAUUCUGGCGGGCAUGCCUGUUCGAGCGUCAUUUCAACCAUCAAGCCCCAGUGCUUGUGUUGGAGCCCUGCGGCUGCCGCAGGCUCCCAAACCCAGUGGCGGGCUCGUCGUCGUACCGAGUGCAGUAAAUUUACCACGCUCAGGGCACGCGCGACGGGUAACCGGCCGUAAAACCCCCUAUUUCUCAAGGUUGACCUCGGAUCAGGUAGGAAUACCCGCUGAACUUAAGCAUAUCAAUAAGCGGAGG